rnacentral:rRNA from 1 species
UACGGGGGGAGCAAGCGUUGUUCGGAUUUACUGGGCGUAAAGGGCGCGUAGGCGGCGCGACAAGUCACUUGUGAAAUCUCUGGGCUCAACCCAGAACGGUCAAGUGAUACUGUCGUGCUAGAGUGCGGAAGGGGCAACUGGAAUUCUUGGUGUAGCGGUGAAAUGCGUAGAUAUCAAGAGGAACACCUGCGGCGAAGGCGGGUUGCUGGGCCGACACUGACGCUGAGGCGCGAAAGCGUGGGGAGCGAACAGG